UCCUGGAUUCGCUGCUGCUGUUU
rnacentral:miRNA from 1 species